AGCAGCCGCGGUAAUUCCAGCUCCAAUAGCGUAUAUUAAAGUUGUUGCAGUUAAAAAGCUCGUAGUUGAAUUUCGGGGUCAGUAGGUCGGUCGUGCCACUGGUAUGAACUGGUUUUACUGAUUCCUCCCUCUUGAAGAACUGUAAUGCCAUUAAUUUGGUGUUGCAGGGAAUCAGGACUGUUACUUUGAAAAAAUUAGAGUGUUUAAAGCAGGCUCACGCUUGAAUACAUUAGCAUGGAAUAAUGAAAUAGGACGUUCGAUCCUAUUUUGUUGGUUUUUAGGAUCAACGUAAUGAUUAAUAGGGAUAGUUGGGGGCAUUAGUAUUCAAUUGUCAGAGGUGAAAUUCUUGGAUUUAUUGAAGACUAACUACUGCGAAAGCAUUUGCCAAGGAUGUUUUCAUUAAUCAAGAACGAAAGUUAGGGGAUCGAAGACGAUCAGAUACCGUCGUAGUCUUAACCAUAAACUAUGCCGACUAGGGAUCGGAUGAUGUUAAUUUUUUAAUGACUCAUUCGGCGCCUUACG
rnacentral:rRNA from 1 species